CGAUACGGGACUCAUCCGAGGCCCCGUAAUCGGAAUGAGUACACUUUAAAUCCUUUAAUGAGGAUCCAUUGGAGGGCAAGUCUGGUGCCAGCAGCCGCGGUAAUUCCAGCUCCAAUAGCGUAUAUUAAAGUUGUUGCGGUUAAAAAGCUCGUAGUUGAAUCUGUGUGCCACGCUGUCGGUUCAUCGCUCGCGAUGUUUAACUGACAUGAUUGUGGGACGUCCUACCGGUGGACUUAGUCUUUCGGGACGGUCCAGCUAAUAUCCCAUCGCGGUGCUCUUCAUCGAGUGUCGAGGUGGGCCGGUACGUUUACUUUGAACAAAUUAGAGUGCUCAAAGCAGGCUAUGUUACGCCUGAAUACUGUGUGCAUGGAAUAAUGGAAUAGGACCUCGGUUCUAUUUUGUUGGUUUUCGGAACCCCGAGGUAAUGAUUAAUAGGGACAGAUGGGGGCAUUCGUAUUGCGACGUUAGAGGUGAAAUUCUUGGAUCGUCGCAAGACGGACAGAAGCGAAAGCAUUUGCCAAAAAUGUUUUCAUUAAUCAAGAACGAAAGUUAGAGGUUCGAAGGCGAUCAGAUACCGCCCUAGUUCUAACCAUAAACGAUGCCAGCUAGCGAUCCGCCGAUGUUCCUUUGAUGACUCGGCGGGCAGCUUCCGGGAAACCAAAGCUUUUGGGUUCCGGGGGAAGUAUGGUUGCAAAGCUGAAACUUAAAGGAAUUGACGGAAGGGCACCACCAGGAGUG
rnacentral:rRNA from 1 species